ensembl:lncRNA
CAACGUUUUUAUAGAUGUUGUUAUAAAAAAAUGUUAUAAAUGUUUAUCAGCGUUUUUUGUUGAAUGAAAUGGGGAUUUUCAGUAAAUGAAAAAUAUUGAUAAUGUUCUGGAUAAAGUUUCAAUUAAAAAUGUCAUGGACAUUUUCACAAAAAAUGAAAAAUUUUGAAAAUGUCAAUUAUUUUUGUGGCAUUUUUCUUUUUUUCCCUUCUUUUUCUUUUUUUUAAAAAGGCCAUUUUAUGAUGAAAAAACUGCUUCAAGAAUUUCAACCCUCUUGACAGGUCAGUUUCAUUUUUGUUUCCAGCCAGUUUCACUUUCCAAUUAUUAUUCAAGUGAGUGCAAGAACAAAGAUGAUCCCACAUUGGGCAGAGAUUCAGCUCUGAUGUAUUGGGCUUUCCUAUUCCUAUACACAUUACUCUCAACUCCUUUAGCCAGGUAGGUAUCUUAGCUGCAUUAUAGCCAUUUUUUACUGCUUUAUGAAGAAUAGGGGCUCUGGGGAAAUUGGGACAGCCAGGAAAGCGCCCCACUUACCACCCGGAAGACUGUUGAAUACAACUUCUAGAUUUACACUGCAAAACAUAAUCUCUUUCUUUCACCCUUACAACAAGCCUUAGGGGGAGGGACGGUUGCUUUCAUCCCAUUUUCUGAAUCAUUUUAAAGUGUUAACGUACUGUAGCUAAUUCACUGGAGAGGGAAUUGCAUAAUGGCUCUUUGAGCUCAAUCAUACUUCAAACCAACUUUUAACAUCUUCUGUUUCAGGACCCAAUUCAGCAAGAUGCUUAACCUUACUGAAUCAGGGCCUAAUAGAGGGCCUUUCAGCAGAGCUGCAAGGGAGGACUUGGAUUGAGGGAGCAAAUGGAUUGGAUGACACAAAAACUCAGCGGUGGAAUUAACUUCCAGAGCAGGUGUGGCAUUCUGCAAAAAAGACGAUCAAGUGAAAGCAUGAAGGGGAAUCUUGUCCCCUUCUCCGAGUGUGUCUGGGAUAUCAAAAAAGCAGCAGAACUGGUUAAGGUUCGGCUGCACAGGAGAAUACAAUAUGGGGAACCCAAAGAGGGGGUCUGCAGACCCUGCAUGCCAGCCAGAUAUACUUGUUAAGGGGCUCCUUCCAUGCUGUCAUCUGCCAGAACAGGAUGUGGAUACCUCAGAUAAAUGCAUCCCUUCAAACACUAUCUCUCAUCAGCCCUCCACUUGAUUGAUGAGUAAAAACUGGCCCUCAAUCUCAUUUAAACAAACAGUAAGGGCACGUGAGACAUACUAUUCGUAACAGUAAUAGAUAACACUUCAAUGGUGCUUUUCGGUCAUUAGACUCAAAGCACACAAUGAUCAGGUACCAUUAAACAUCUUUAUCUCCAUUCUACAGGUGGGGAAACGGGGGCAGAGUGAUUUGUAGUGUUUUGGCCAAGAUCACACAGCAAGUCAGUGGUGACAGAGCCAGAACUGGAACCCAGUUCUCCUACCUCCCGCACUUGUGUCCUAUUUACCGGAGCACACUCGCAAUGCAGAUGAAUACACCUAUAGUUUAGGCUUGUGUGUGCCCAUGAGCAGACCUGUAAUGCAGAUGCAUUGGAGGACAACAGCUUUUGCUAUAUGCUACAGAGGGCUUUGCAAAAUUAAGGUCAUAAUGGAAGGCACGAUCCUUGGCUUUAUAGUGUAGUAAUUAUGAUUGCCAGUAGUUAUGAUAAUUAGUUUUCUUUUUUUAAACAGGAACAAUAAUUUUUUUCAGAUAGACAUACAGUACUGUCCAUAGUACAUUUUAGGCCAAGUAUUUUAUGUAAAUAAAAUAAAAAGUAACACAAUUCA